AGCAUAAUACAAGUCUAUGUUACGGCCAUAGAAUUGAUGUUUUCAUCUUAUGCUU
rnacentral:tRNA from 1 species